rnacentral:rRNA from 1 species
GAUGAACGCUGGCGGCGUGCCUAAUACAUGCAAGUCGAGCGAGCAGACGAGGAGCUUGCUCCUCUGACGUUAGCGGCGGACGGGUGAGUAACACGUGGAUAACCUACCUAUAAGACUGGGAUAACUUCGGGAAACCGGAGCUAAUACCGGAUAAUAUAUUGAACCGCAUGGUUCAAUAGUGAAAGACGGUUUUGCUGUCACUCAUAGAUGGAUCCGCGCCGCAUUAGCUAGUUGGUAAGGUAACGGCUUACCAAGGCGACGAUGCGUAGCCGACCUGAGAGGGUGAUCGGCCACACUGGAACUGAGACACGGUCCAGACUCCUACGGGAGGCAGCAGUAGGGAAUCUUCCGCAAUGGGCGAAAGCCUGACGGAGCAACGCCGCGUGAGUGAUGAAGGUCUUCGGAUCGUAAAACUCUGUUAUUAGGGAAGAACAAAUGUGUAAGUAACUAUGCACGUCUUGACGGUACCUAAUCAGAAAGCCACGGCUAACUACG